AGUCCAUGGAAAAGUCAUUAUAUCAAUAAAUAUUUAUAGCACUCCAAUGCGUCAAACAAGGAUUCCACAUCUUCUUGCCUAAAAUUGUUAAUCUCAUUCCUAACU